GAGAAGCACCUCUAGGAGGUGGAAGAAUCUGGAUUAGAUAAGCCAAUUCCAGAAAUUCUAUUCCUCCUGCCUGUGAGGUUGUGCUAUGAUUCUGUCCAGUGAGAUAGGAGGGGAAAUCUGCUAGGGUGGCAGAACCUACUGGAAAAGUUCUUCUCGUUUUUUAAAAAGGAUUCAAGUUUAAUUAUUUGGUGCUUCCUGCCAUGUACAUUUUCAAUUUAAAGUGAGGCUACGUCAACCCCUGGCAAGGCUUGUGCCCCACAUGAUACCAACCAGCCAAGCACCUGCUUCUAGAAGCAGUCUGUGGACAGAGCUUGCAAAGGUCCAUGAGAUCACUAUUGCAAACCGGGGAGAGGUCAAGGCAAGAGGAAGUAUCUUGGUGGAUUGGAGCAAUUUUCCCCUCCCACGAAUCCUCUGGCUGGAAAGUCCAGGCAGGGAGUGAUGACAGAAGCCAGGCACAGACCACAUUCCUGCCACAGUGAGACAAAUGCCUUUGGAGCCCUGAGCUACCUCAAGAAAUCCAGAGACCUUGAAGGAACAUGUGGAAGGACCAUGUGGUGGGUCCCAAAGGGAUAGAGGGAAGUGCCUGGGGAGCCACAGCUGCUCCAGCCCCUGCUCCAGCUGUUUGUUUUCCCAGCCCAGGAACAAGACCUGUGAAUGAAGAAGACUUGAAAUUGACCCCAGCUCUAGCCACUGACCAGUCUGCCUCAGUCUCAUGGGAGACGCCGAGUCAGACGAGCUCAGCUUGGCUGCUCGCAAAUUCCUGGCCCACAAAACCCACAAGAGCUAAUAAACAACAUUGCUUUUGCAAGGCA